CAUUUACGAAAUUGUAUUUAGCAAAUAACGUGAAUCCAUCAUUGGCCCCAUUCUUUGUCCGAAACAUAAUAGCUGUAAAUACCGUAUAUUCAUGGUCUUUUUCAAUCUCAUCAUUUCGUCACUACCACUUCCCAUUCUCAGUUUAAAUGUAUACGUUUAACAUGUAAACCUCAUAAAGCUCAAAUAUUGAUUACAAAUAUCCUUAAAUCAUCAUCGGUUUCCAUUCCACCACCUCUACACCUUAUAUCGUCGCUUUGAUCGUCCCCAAAUCGCAGCCGCCGCCGCUCUCGCCGGAAACUUGCUCACUGCCUUCAACAGCGGGUCAUCCCGAUCUCUCCCGGCCAGUUGAAACCACUCCGAUGGCAACCACACGCCGACGUUGGGGAGUGCGACCCAUAGAAGCCUCUGUGGACCUCGCCGGAGUUGUGUAUCUCGCCGGGGAAAGCGCUAUCCACUGGCCAAUCUUGACUCGCCGUGUUUCCCUCCAAGCCGAACUAUACCCAGAGCUGCUUGAUUCGACCUCCGCCGUUUCCGCUCAAAACGGAUCUAAGAAACCACCGCUUCGAUCUUGCCGUCCUCUAGCAAAACCAUAAAGAGGAGAGAACCAGAUCUGUGCUCGCUUCUAUAGCUUCAGCCGUUUCAUAGGCAGCUCCGUCGGACUCCACACCACACACGGCCGAAGAAGGAGAGGGGGGUUUCGGAGAAGACAUGCAACCAAAAACUUCAGCUCAGCACCGCCGAAAUACACAUAAAGACAAGCCCUCUCACACCGCGGCGGAGAGGCAAACACGGUGACUGUUGAAUAGAGAGGUUUCUUCUUCAGUGACGUUGUUCCUGGUUUGGGGCAAUCUGAGCUUCGGUUUUGAUCAAUUCACUUUGGUGAGCAAGAAACACAGCAAACGUUGGCUUCUUAUUGAUGAACUAAUCUUUCUACAGCGAGAAUUGUGCUCUUUAAGAUUCAAUAUUAUCACUGACUGAAACUAUUCACAACAGGGUUGUGUUAUCCAAGGGUUCAUCUCCUAAAACCGUAUAGCCCAACAAGAUUUACAUCUCUGUUUGCCUUUUCUUAUUUUACGUUCUCUCAUAUCAAAUUGAACAGAUUGAUUCCUUCAUAUGAAGCUUUCGGUGAGAACGUAAAACCCAUUUGCUGCAGCGUUUUGAUGUCUUUAUCAGAGCUAAGGAUGACAGACGUACGGAUCAUGACUGUAGAGGUUUUCUUUGUAUGUUUAAUCCUAUGGUUUUUAAUAGGAGUUCGUUUAGUCUCCCUGACAACCAGAUAAAUGAUUUUUAAAAAGCAAACACAACAACGGAUCUGAUGGACGAGUUAUCCGUCUUUUGAUUUGGGGAAUAAUGAUCAUGUAACAACCAACCUGAAAGAAUGUUCUCCAUCUGAGCCUCACAUGGGAUUUACAGUUGAAGGUUUAGGUCAAAAUAAACUCUAAGAGUCUGCCUAAUUCUCAACAGCCAUCAGGCAGUUCCACUGGAGGGAAAAUGAUAAGAUGGAAUCCCAUGCAACACUGUUACUAACACUCCCGUAUUUAUAAACAUAAGGAUAUGUUAAGAGAUUUUAUGCUCUCCACAAACUAAGCUUGACUCUACUCUUCUGAUAGGAACAUGAGAAACUUCAUUAAGCAACUGCAUGCAUAUUCAGGGGAGAGCCAACUGAAAGGUAUGGAAGAUUAGCAUAGAAGGGAGUUGUCUCUUUCUUUGGGAGGGGAUGCUUGAUUUGUUCGACUGCUAUUAGAUCGUCGUGAUAUGAUCAUAUUUUGUUGCUUUUUGUAACUGAUAUUCAUUUAAGUAUAAUCAUAAGCGAGUUUACAAUUCAACAAAAGAAGUUUGGGGCACGAACUUAUUA